rnacentral:rRNA from 1 species
GCAUAAUCAAUAGUUUUUUUAUUGAGGACUGGGAUGAAAGGUUAAAAACUGAGGGGAUAGUUUUUUUAAAUGAAUUCGAAUUUAAAUUAAGAAUAAAAAUGUUUUUAUUAAUCUUUGGGACGAGAAGACCCUAGAAGCUUAAAAUAUAAGUUAUUUUUGGUUGGGGCAAUUAUAUGAAGAUAUAGAUUUUUGUAAUAAAAAGUUACUCUAGGGAUAACAGCAUUAUUUAAUUGGUAAGUUCUUAUUAAUAAUUAAGUUUGUGACCUCGAUGUUGAAUUAAUU